rnacentral:rRNA from 1 species
ACUCCUACGGGAGGCAGCAGUGGGGAAUAUUGCACAAUGGGCGCAAGCCUGAUGCAGCCAUGCCGCGUGUAUGAAGAAGGCCUUCGGGUUGUAAAGCACUUUCAGUAGGGAGGAAGGUGGGUAUGUUAAUAGCAUACUCAUUUGACGUUAGCUGCAGAAGAAGCACCGGCUAACUCCGUGCCAGCAGCCGCGGUAAUACGUAGGGUGCAAGCGUUGUCCGGAUUUAUUGGGUUUAAAGGGUGCGUAGGCGGGCUAUUAAGUCAGUGGUGAAAUCCAGCAGCUUAACUGUUGAUGUGCCAUUGAUACUGGUAGUCUUGAGUACAGAUGAGGUAGGCGGAAUUGACAGUGUAGCGGUGAAAUGCAUAGAUAUUGUCAAGAACUCCGAUAGCGAAGGCAGCUUACUGGGCUGUAACUGACGCUGAUGCACGAAAGUGUGGGGAUCAAACAGGAUUAGAUACCCUGGUAGGAUAGCGU